GGCGUGGUGGCGCAUGCCUGUAAUCCAAGCUACUCAGAAAGCCGAGGCAGGAGAAUUGCUUGAACCCAGGAGGCGGGGCUUGCGGUGAGCUGAGAUUGUGCCAUGGCACUCCAGCCUGGGCGACAGAGCGAGAAUCUGUCUCAUAAAAAAAUUUUUUUAAAAAGAAUUUUUAAAGCUAUUAACUCACUCAGGGAGAUAAUAGAAUGUAAAAAUAUCCAUGAAUCAAGAAUAGGAUGCUAUAAAAAAGGAACAUUCAGCGAACAAACAAGAGUUUUUUGUGGAAGCAUACAUGAAAAAUUCAAUAGAUGGAUAUUUUUCUUCUAACAAAAUACAGAAAGUUGCAAGACAACAUCACUCCCAUCCUAGCUACAAGAAGCUGGAUAACCUACAAAUCAUAGGAUUUUUUUUCUUUUAAGGCUAUCGGGAAGCUGAGGUUGGGGGGAAAAAAAAUCAAAAUCUUGAAAAGCCCUUUCUAGGAGAAAAGAGCCCCAUAGCUGCUUUGAUUUUUGGCACAGCAGCAGCAGGAAGAGGAGGCUGCCACAGACUUGUGUACAAAAGAAACAGAGAAACUCUGAACACAUUUUAAAAGGCUGAGUGUGCGACGGCAUGAGGCUAUAGACUCUCUAAUGCCUCCCAUUCAAGAGAGCUUACAUUCACCCACUAACUCUUUUGCAUGGGCCUUCACCAAGAAAGUUUGAAGGCAAAGCAGGUGGGCCGAAAGAUACUCUCCGAGGUAGACAUGUGCUCAGGCUGCUGAAGUCUGGAUGCAGGACAAGGGAACCGACAGGAACCCCCCUGGGGCUCCUGACCUUCCACUGAGUACAGAGCAGCUGUAACUGGUGAAUGAAGCAGGGCAGGAGGACUGAAGAGUUCAUCCCCAGGCUCUAGGAAGUCUUAAGGCAGGACAGAAGAACUGAAACAAACCUUCCGGUUGAUUCUAAUCCUUACACUGAGUACAAACCAGAAGCGAACUGUGGUUGGAGUGGAGGCAAAAGACCUACAAUAGGCACCCGGGAAUGUGCGCUCAGGGAUCUGCUGAAGUCUACGGGUGAGGCAGGAGAAUCAAAGAAACUCCCAGCCACUCAGAUCACAAGUCCCACCAAAGAGAAUGUUCUGAUCCUGCUCUGAAAUCAUUCGAAGUAUACAGAAAACUGAGUCUACGCAAAGCAACAAGAAACCCCAGACUCCACUUAACUACACACCAGCCUCUAAUACACACACACGCAUGCACACACUAAUGGCCUGACAAGAAGGGUCAUGCCCUUUUUGGGGCAUAAUUUUAUGUGUAUCUUCCCCACUGUUCUAUUACAUAUAUUUACCCCAGGAGGGAUAAAUAUAUAUGAUUAUUUACUUCUUAAAAUAGAAAUAGGCCAGGUGUGGUGGCUCACACCUGUAAUCCCAGUACUUUGGGAGGCUGAAGUGGGAGGAUUGCUUGAGCCCAGGAGUUUGAGAACAGCCUGGGCAACAUGGAAAGACCCUGUC
rnacentral:lncRNA from 1 species